UGCAGUCGAGCGGACAGAUGGGAGCUUGCUCCCUGAUGUCAGCGGCGGACGGGUGAGUAACACGUGGGUAACCUGCCUGUAAGACUGGGAUAACUCCGGGAAACCGGGGCUAAUACCGGAUGCUUGAUUGAACCGCAUGGUUCAAUUAUAAAAGGUGGCUUUUAGCUACCACUUACAGAUGGACCCGCGGCGCAUUAGCUAGUUGGUGAGGUAACGGCUCACCAAGGCAACGAUGCGUAGCCGACCUGAGAGGGUGAUCGGCCACACUGGGACUGAGACACGGCCCAGACUCCUACGGGAGGCAGCAGUAGGGAAUCUUCCGCAAUGGACGAAAGUCUGACGGNGCAACGCCGCGUGAGUGAUGAAGGUUUUCGGAUCGUAAAACUCUGUUGUUAGGGANNNACAAGUACCGUUCGAAUAGGGCGGUACCUUGACGGUACCUAACCAAAAAGCCACGGCUAACUACGUGCCNNNNNNCGCGGUAAUANNNAGGU
rnacentral:rRNA from 1 species